UAUAGGAGGUCCAGCCUGCCCAGUGACCACAAGUUCAACGGCCGCGGUAUUUUGACCGUGCAAAGGUAGCGCAAUCACUUGUCUUUUAAAUAGAGACCUGUAUGAAUGGCCAAACGAGGGCUUAACUGUCUCCCCUUUCAAGUCAGUGAAAUUGAUCUACCCGUGCAGAAGCGGGUAUAACAAUACAAGACGAGAAGACCCUUUGGAGCUUAAGGUACAAAACUCAACCACGUCAAGCAACUUAAUAAAAAGCAAAAACUUUGUGAAUACAUGAGAUUCUACCUUCGGUUGGGGCGACCACGGAGGAGAAAAAAGCCUCCAAGUGGACCGGGACAAACUCCUAAAACCAAGAGAGACAUCUCUAAGCCACAGAACAUCUGACCAAACAUGAUCCGGCCACCAGGACCGAUCAACGAACCAAGUUACCCUAGGGAUAACAGCGCAAUCCCCUCCCAGAGUCCAUAUCGACGAGGGGGUUUACGACCUCGAUGUUGGAUCAGGACAUCCUAAUGGUGCAGCCGCUAUUAAGGGUUCGUUUGUUCAACGAUUAAAGUCCUACGUGA
rnacentral:rRNA from 1 species